rnacentral:rRNA from 1 species
AUUGAACUCUGGCGGCAGGCCUAACACAUGCACGUCGAGCGAGCGGCGGACGGGUGAUUAAUGUAUGGGGACUGCCCAAUAGAGGGGGAAAACUACUGGAAACGGUGGCUACUACUUCAUUCUUUAUGAUAACGCUUAGAGGAUUAGCUCUUAAGUAAGGUAAUGGCUUACCUAGGCGACGAUCCCUAGCUGGUCUGAGAGGAAGAUCAGCCAAACGGGGACUGAGACACGGCCCAGAAUCCUACGGAGGCAGCAGUGGGGAAGAUUGCACAAUGGGCGCAAGACUGAUGCAGCCAUGCCGCGUGUAUGAAGAAGGCCCUAGGGUUGUAAAGUACUGUCAGUCGGGAGGCGUUACCGACAGAAGAAGCACCGGCUAACUCCGUGCCAGCAGCCGCGGUAAUUC